UUCGGAUCGGAGUCUGNAACCCGACUCCGUGAAGCUGGAUUCGCUAGUAAUCGCGCAUCAGCCAUGGCGCGGUGAAUACGUUCCCGGGCCUUGUACACACCGCCCGUCAAGCCAUGGAAGCCGGGGGUGCCUGAAGUGUGCAGCCGCAAGGAGCGCCCUAAGGUAAAACCGGUGACUGGGGCUAAGUCGUAACAAGGUAUC
rnacentral:rRNA from 1 species